UCGAGAACGACGUAGGAUUUAACUGUCAAUCCUAAAUAAGUUAUCCAUAUUAUAUUUCAAUCUUUCAAAUCCAUCACAUGGAUUAUCCGGACUCAGAUUUUGCUAAAUUGAAAUACAUUGAUACAUUAACUCCUACUAAUUCGAAAGGAUCAAUCCCAUCUUGACUCAUGCAUCGACUUGAUAAGUACUUGACUGUACCUAAAAAUUUUUCGUCACUGAAUUAUAAAUUUAGAUAGUCUGGCACUAAAGUAUAGUGAGUUGCUUGCAAGUCACUGUAGUGAUCUC
rnacentral:lncRNA from 1 species